rnacentral:rRNA from 1 species
AACGAACGCUGGCGGCAGGCUUAACACAUGCAAGUCGAGCGAGACCUUCGGGUCUAGCGGCGGACGGGUGAGUAACGCGUGGGAACGUGCCCUUCUCUACGGAAUAGCCCCGGGAAACUGGGAGUAAUACCGUAUACGCCCUUUGGGGGAAAGAUUUAUCGGAGAAGGAUCGGCCCGCGUUGGAUUAGGUAGUUGGUGGGGUAAUGGCCCACCAAGCCGACGAUCCAUAGCUGGUUUGAGAGGAUGAUCAGCCACACUGGGACUGAGACACGGCCCAGACUCCUGCGGGAGGCAGCAGUGGGGAAUCUUAGACAAUGGGGGCAACCCUGAUCGAGCCAUGCCGCGUGAGUGAUGAAGGCCUUAGGGUUGUAAAGCUCUUUCAGCUGGGAAGAUAAUGACGGUACCAGCAGAAGAAGCCCCGGCUAACUCCGUG